AGGAUCUUGGAGUGUAGCGGCAAAUAAAAUCGUAAAAGAAAUCUGAUGCCAAUAUGACUGAACUCCAGUUCUUGUGGUUGCCGCUGCUGCGGCGGCCAACACUGCUAGGGCCAGUGAUGCCAGUGCUGCUGAGGAAUGAUUCUUUCACCAACCAGUGGCAACAGAACCUCAGCCCUUGAAGGUCAACGCAUUAUUGCUUUUACCGUCAGAAGUUUAAAUCUUCAGGGGGAGAAAUGAAGGCAGAAUAUCCAAGACUCUAUGGACCUCUAUUGUCAGCUUCAACGUUUGCCAGCCAUAGUAAUUCAACCCCAAAAUCUCUGCUGUAUGCCAUACCAGCUAUAAAAACUGGAUAAAGUAAUAGAUUCCAUUGUGACUUGGUCCGUAUCUUCCUCAGUACACAUACAGAGCACUCAUUAAUGCUAAUGGAAUUUGCACAUAUGUAUUAAAGGGAAAAUAUAGUUGUC
rnacentral:lncRNA from 1 species